rnacentral:rRNA from 1 species
UACGUAGGGUGCAAGCGUUGUCCGGAAUUAUUGGGCGUAAAGAGCGUGUAGGCGGCCCCGUUAGUCCGCUGUGAAAGUCCAGGGCUCAACUGGAAUGCCGGUGGAUACUGCGGGCUAGAGUCCGGAAGGGGCGAGUGGAAUCCUGGUGUAGCGGUGAAAUGCGCAGAUAUCAGGAGGAACACCAAUGGCGAAGGCAGCUCGCUGGGAC